AUUAAUAUGACAGCUGAACUACCGCUACUUCAUUUGCAUGCCAUCAACAUUUUUCACAAGAUGAAAGAGUGGAGCUAAAACUACCAUUAAUAUAUGAGAAAUAUAUAAAUGAAAAGUAAAAAGAAAAAGUCUUUUUGGGUGAUCAAGAAGAUAUACCCACGCCAAGAAAAUCUAUGAAUUGGACCUCCGUGUGUCUGAUAGAUUCUUGAUCUCUUUGUUCUUCCUGUUUACUCACUAUCAUAUUUUUCUUGAAUGUGGACGAGUUGUCGCAAAAAUUCACCAGCUCUUUCUUGAUCGUGCCAUGGUUUUCACACUCAUCUCCAAGUUUUAGGCAUCCAAAAGGACUUGGAACAACCCUUCUGUAAUUUGGAAACCCAAAUACAGUUGAACUCCGGUACAUUGAAGAAUUUGAAUAGUAUCUAUAAAUAGAUUGGUGAUCUGAAAUUUUGGAGCUCUCGGCAGUGUAAAAACUAGAGUUAUUGAAGCAAUCUCUUCCUUCUUUUCGUGGUGAUAAAUAUUCAACUACUGAAGAUGAAUUAUUUGAAGCUGUUAUAGUUGAUGGAGAAAAAGUCCAGGAAGGUGAAGAAGAAGUAUUAGAGGAAGAGACUACUGAGAAUAUCCUAUCUGAACUGAGGUUUCGAAAUUCCAAGACUCUAGUACUAUUUUCAAAUCCAAUGCUUGAGCUAAACAGGUCUUGAGACCUUGAUUUUCUUGGAUGGAGAUCAUUAGAGGCGGCGUUGGAGUCACUUGGGCCUUCAUGAUAACUUCUCUUUCCACUUAGCUUGAAUUGUUCCCUUUGUUUUCUUGCCAUUAUUACAUGCCAGUGGUUCUUCACAGCA
rnacentral:misc_RNA from 1 species